UCCGGCGCCGCCGAGCUGCGCCCGCUGCCUUCACACCCCGGACAUCCGCGCCACACUGAUGGAUCCUAGAACCUGUUCUAGAAGGAGACGCUGAGUUCUCCCCACUCUACCUGGAGCUGCUGAGGUCAAGUGGAGAGUGCCGGGGCUGAAGCCCAGCGAGCCCCUCCCUGUCACACCACACUGCACAUGUGACACCAAAGGUGGGGUUCACCUCUUUUCAGACUUUCUGCGGUUGCCCUCACAUGGGCUGUCUGGAGGUGCACCCUCACUCUUCCUGAGGACUGUGGUUCCUUCUCCAUCACUGGUUCAUUCUGCAUGGUGUGACCCACCACGGCUCUGGAGUCGGAUUUCCACCCAGGUCAUUCAGCUGAGACCUGCGCUUCCCAGGCCUACCCGUGACAUGUGCUCAGUUACCUGAGCUGCUGGUGGUCACUCAUGUGGCUAUAGCCUGCUGCCUGGAGGCCAGGCCUCCCGCUUCCCCUGCCUCCCCCUCUCCUCACCACAGCCUGUUGGGAUGGAACAGGACAGGGGUGAGACCGUGGUGCUUUCACACUCAGCCUCCAUGGACAUCCUGUCAUUCCCACCCGGGGAGGUCUGGUCCCCACCCUGGGUGUCCCAGCCUAGCUCCGCUACGAGUGUGAGGGCCCAGGGCAACCGCCUAGCCCUCAUCUGCCCCCUGCACUGCAUCCUCCCCACUCAUUCAUUCCACAGGCAUUUAUUGAGCAUCUACUGUGUGCCAGAUGCAAAGAAGACAGUGGGAUAACUGGGCAAGGAGCAUUCCAGGCAGAGGGAACAGCCAGUGCAAACAUGGGAGAUGCGGGUGCAGUGAGAAGGAGCAGAGGAGACCAGGAGUUGAGGCGACUGCAGAGCGAUUGCAGAGCUCAUAGACGUGAUGAAGACCAGCUGGGCACUGCAGCGGCUCUGGCUUCUGCUGUGAGGGACGGGGAGCUGUGGAGACUCCCUCUGUUUGGUCCCAUUUCCAUAUUGCUGAGCACCUGCUGCAUGCUCUCUGUCCUGCUCAGAGCCAGUACCUGGAUGGAGGCUGUGUGUUCUGGG
rnacentral:lncRNA from 10 species